ACAUGCAAGUCGAGCGAACAGACGAGGAGCUUGCUCCUCUGACGUUAGCGGCGGACGGGUGAGUAACACGUGGAUAACCUACUUAUAAGACUGGGAUAACUUCGGGAAACCGGAGCUAAUACCGGAUAAUAUAUUGAACCGCAUGGUUCAAUAGUGAAAGACGGUUUUGCUGUCACUUAUAGAUGGAUCCGCGCCGCAUUAGCUAGUUGGUAAGGUAACGGCUUACCAAGGCGACGAUGCGUAGCCGACCUGAGAGGGUGAUCGGCCACACUGGAACUGAGACACGGUCCAGACUCCUACGGGAGGCAGCAGUAGGGAAUCUUCCGCAAUGGGCGAAAGCCUGACGGAGCAACGCCGCGUGAGUGAUGAAUGUCUUCGGAUCGUAAAACUCUGUUAUUAGGGAAGAACAAAUGUGUAAGUAACUAUGCACGUCUUGACGGUACCUAAUCAGAAAGCCACGGCUAACUACGUGCCAGCAGCCGCGGUAAUACGUAGGUGGCAAGCGUUAUCCGGAAUUAUUGGGCGUAAAGCGCGCGUAGGCGGUUUUUUAAGUCUGAUGUGAAAGCCCACGGCUCAACCGUGGAGGGUCAUUGGAAACUGGAAAACUUGAGUGCAGAAGAGGAAAGUGGAAUUCCAUGUGUAGCGGUGAAAUGCGCAGAGAUAUGGAGGAACACCAGUGGCGAAGGCGACUUUCUGGUCU
rnacentral:rRNA from 1 species